GUUUCUCAACCGUACAAACACGACCACCAUCUUUACAUCAUCAAGCCUCUCCUCCUGUUCCAGUCUUCCUUUGUGAAAUCACUUCCUCCACAGCCAGACGAAUAUAAAAGGGCUCUCUCCACAACAUUCUGGUGCUUCCAUUUUAGCUAACGAUGACAAAUUAUACCGAUCAUAAUUAUAACAGCAAUAAUAGUAGUGAUGAAGAUGAACCUUUUACUGCACUGUUGUUUUGAGGGGGGAGGGGGCUUACAGUACAUGAUACAGUACACAUUACUGCUGGUUUACAGUUGAUGUAUUACAUGUGUUACAGUUGCUUCAGAAGGCGUUGGUACAGAUACUCACAGACUCGACACCUGUAUGAUGUUAUAUCAUCAUCAUGUGACCUGAACUGACCGCUCACUCCAUAUCCUCCCUAGCUGCAUCCCAAAUAGCAUCCUAUUCCCUUUCUAGUACACUACUCAUGACCAGGACCCUGCACCACAAGGUCAAAAGUAGUGCACUAUUAUAAGGAAUGGAGUGAAAUUUGCAAUGUAAUCAACUGUCUUUAUUACCUGUAAGCCUAUCUAGUCUGGACCACCAGGCAGUGUAGCCAUACAUGUACUGAAACCUUAUAACACAGUCCUACAGUAACCAAUACAGCUCUGUUCUACUCAUCACAAAACUCCACUCUAUAAGGGGUAAACCAAUCACACGUGCUGUGAUGUCAUCAUAGAAUCGCUCUCAUGAUAGGCCAUUGUAUUUUUCUGGGGACUUCCAACUCUGUGCAAAGUACAGCUUCACUUGAGUCGACCAUGAAAUCUUUAUAAAGGGACGUUAAUAAUACGAGAAUAUACGAACGUAGUGCAGAAACGAUUAUCAUUUAAAAAGCUUUUGACGGGCGAUAUUUAACUGACAUAGUAACAACGACAAGGUGAUCUUUAAAAUGAUUUAUGGCAUAUCAAAUACCAAGAAGGAUCAUCGUUAAUGGUUCCAAUAUAAAUCUCUAUGUUUGGCUAAAGCCUCUUAGAACUAACGGUUGCUUUGAUAGAUAGAAGGGGUUAGAAGACAUUAAAAAGAGUAAGAAAAAAAAAGUGAAGCACAAUUGAAUAAAACAGAUUUUUUUUGUUGCAGACUCUGGCUAGUUUACAAAGAGAAACUGAUCAUCAAUAAUAACAUCGUUCACAAAGAGAAACUGAUCAUCAAUAAUAACAUAGCCUCUACUGUUAGUGUGGGUGGUUAGGGGCGGGGUCAGAAAACAGCCAAUAGAAAUGGUCCUAGAGGAAACAGAUAAGGGCUGAUACAGUGAUCCAUCCAUCGGACAGACUGCCUGUGUCGGACAGACUGCCUGUGUCGGACAGACUGCCUGUGUCGGACAGACUGCCUGUGUCGGACAGACUGUUGGUGAAAGGGUGUAAAGACUGUUGGUGAAAGGGUGUAAAGACUGUUGGUGAAAGGGUGUAAAGACUGUUGGUGAAAGGGUGUUGGUGAAAGGGUGUUGGUGAAAGGGUGUUGGUGAAAGGGUGUUGGUGAAAGGGUGUAAAGACUGUACUCUAUGGGCUGCUUUAAAGCGGAACGACCUAAUGAGGGGGACAGAGGGAGGAAGAGAGCGAGAACGGUGAAGACGGGGGUGAAGAGAGAGGUGGGGUUGAAGGGCGAGGUGAAGAGAGAGGUGGGGUUGAAGGGCGAGGAGGGGGGUGAAGAGAGAGGUGGGGUUGAAGGGCGAGGGGGGUGAAGAGAGAGGUGGGGUUGAAGGGCGAGGGGUGAAGAGAGAGGUGGGGUUGAAGGGCGAGGUGAAGAGAGGAGGGGUUGAAGGGCGAGGGGGGGGGGUGAAGAGAGAGGUGGGGUUGAAGGGCGGGGGGGGUGAAGAGAGGUGGGGUUGAAGGGCGAGGGGGGGUGAAGAGAGGUGGGGUUGAAGGGCGAGGGGGGUGAAGAGAGAGGUGGGGUUGAAGGGCGAGGGGGUGAAGAGAGAGGUGGGGUUGAAGGGCGAGGUGAAGAGAGGUGGGGUUGAAGGGCGAGGGUGAAGAGAGAAGGGAUGUUGGUAUAUAGAGGAAUAUUAAAAUAAGCAAUAAAAUCACUGAUCAAUAAAAUCUAAUACAACUAAAUCAGACACGGAUAACAAUGGGAGAGUAAUUAUGUUGUUGUUGACUUUAUCCAUACUAGCUAGUGUCUAACUCAGGGUGUGACAUCAAUGUGUGUGUGUGUGUGUGUGUGUGUGUGUGUGUGUGUGUGUGUGUGUGUGUGUGUGUGUGUGAGUGUGUGUGUGUGUGUGUGUGUGUGUGUGUGUGUGUGUGAGUGUGUGUGUGUGUGUGUGUGAGUGUGUGUGUGUGUGUGUGCACGUACUCUUACGAGUGAGUCAAGAGGGAUGUGUGUGUGUCAGACUGCAGCUCGGUACAACUGUAGAGUUACCAAGUGUCUCUGCUUCACCCACAGACAGUAACUGACGAGGAACAGCAACAUCACUUCAGCACAAACACAGAGAGGGCUGGUAACAACUACUGUGUGUGUGUGUGAGUAAGUAUUCUUACGAGUGAGUCGACAGGGAUGUGCGUAAUUUUGCCAGCUAGCGGAGCGACUUAAGUUAGGCCCACUCCUCCUCCUGGCUGAACAGAAAUAGUCAUGACCUGCAGUGUCCCGUCAUCUUAUUGUGCUACAGUAACGUCAUGUGAAAAGGUUAAAGCAUUAUUCAUGGAGUGCAAAUUCCGUCACAAUAUUGUUUAGAACGUUCGUUUUGAACUGAUGCACGACUGAGCAUUCUACUCAAUGAGCGCCGAUGAAGAUUUCAUCAAAAGUGCAUUACAGUGGCUUGGGAAUACAAUGACACUCAAAAGGAGGCAAAUAAUUAGUAGGAAAACCUUUUGAUGUCGCCAGAUUGACUUUAGAUACAGUAUAACGUUAGCUAGCUAGCUAAGAUUGAGGUGAGGCCACCAGAUAGACUUUAGAUACAGUAUAACAUUAGCAAGCUAAGAUUGAGGGGAGACGACCAGAUUGACUUUAGAUGCAGUAUAACAUUAGCUAGCUAGCUAAGAUAGAGGUGAGGCCACCAGAUAGACUUUAAAUGCAGUGUAACGUUAGCUAGCUAGCCACCAGAUUGACUUUAGAUGCAGUGUAACGUUAGCUAGCUAGCCACCAGAUUGACUUUAGAUGCAGUGUAACGUUAGCUAGCUAGCCACCAGAUUGACUUUAGAUGCAGUGUAACGUUAGCUAGCUAGCCACCAGAUUGACUUUAGAUGCAGUGUAACGUUAGCUAGCUAAAAUGGAGGUGAGGCCAUUUUUUUUAUUAGGUUUUUGACAAACUUUGCUAGCUAAUGACAACAUUGCAAUCAAAGUAAAUUUGAAGGCAUGAUAACGCUUGCAAACUUUUUCCUACUAAAUACUUGACUACUUUAGCAAUGUCAUUGUAUUUCCAGAAUUACUUUUUUUUAAUCGCAACUUUAGGGCGCCGCCGAUAGAGGCCUGCUUGAGAACGUUCACAACAAUGGCAUGAUGCGACAUAGUGAGGGAGGUGCAUCCUAUGAAUAUGUACUCUCUGUGUGUGUGUGUGUAUAUAUAUAAAAAAUAUAUGAGUCGUAGUCGUUCAGUCAUGCUGGGUAUUAUAUGACCAGUGGGGCUCUUCUCUAGCCAGUCUAGGGGUUCAAAUCUGUCUGCUAGAUAGCCCUGAGACGACUGGAUUAAAAGACUGUUGUUGUUCUCAAUACUUCAUGUGGGAUUAAGAUCCAAAGUCUCGUUUUACAACAACCAUCAGAAGGCAGAGAUGAUUUGCUUGUAAACAGUUCCACAACCCUUGCACGCCAUGGAGUCUUGAGCCGCAGCUUUCCAAAAUCAUUUUGGUUGAAGUGUAUUUAGAUGUUAUGUUUGCUUUGGCAACUUUGGGCUUUGUGGGGCUAUGUAGAUGCUACUAAGGUAGUUGUGGUUGGAACUGGACUAUUUAGCAGACAGAAUGUCACCCUUUCUGUUUGUGUUUUAACUACAGUCCUGUAGAGUUUAGUCCAAUACUGUUACUACUGUCCUACAACUACAGUAACAACACUCCUAACAAUUCUCUGUACGCUUCAGCAAGUCAUAUCAAUAACCAGCCAUCAAUAAGACCCUGGUUUUCAUUUGGUAGUUGUUUGUUGACAAGUUAACGGGCCGUUUGUUGUGUCUCAGUGUAACGGAUCUUAACGGUGGGCUCAGUGAUUUAAAUAUCAACACUGACUGUGUACCCUAUGAGUAUAAGGCUGAAGAUCAACAACAGAGGCAGUCUUGUGGAAUCCUUAGGUUCUUCACAGGAACGAAGAGGAUCAGUCAGAAUGUAGGGAAUAGGGUGCCAUUUCAUCUGGGCAGGGUUUCCUUCAGUUAAACAGUUAAGAUUUUAGACCAGCGUUUCCCCAACUCAGUCACCCCCCCCCUCUCCCGGGUGCACCUUUUGGUUCUGACCCAGCACUACACAGCUGAUUCAAUAACCAACUCAUCGGCAAGCUUUGAUUAUUUGAAUCAGUUGUGUAGUGCUAGGGGGGGGGGGGAAACCCCUUGGCGUCCCCAGGUACGAGUUUGGGAAACAUUGUCUUAGGCCUAACCAUCAGAUAGAUAGAGCAUCAAGUCUUUGACAUGGUCUCCUUCUGUUGCCUUGCCUUGUCAGGGGUUCAUAUAGGGUGCCUCCCAAAUGGUACCCCAUUCCCUAUAUAGUGCACUACUUUUGACCAAAGCCCUAUGGGGGUAGCCCUAUGGGCCAUAAACAGAACUAGUGCAGUAGAAGGACUAGGAGUCCUUUGGGCAGCAUCCAUGUCCCUACGCUGGUUAAAUUGAGUUGAUUCAGUCCAUGUUAUUUCUACAGAUGUCCAGGAGACAGACAGAUCAAUCCUACUACUCUGCUCUGUCGUCUACUAACAUUAAAACAAGACAAUACUCUGAUUCCUCUCAGAGCACACCUAUUAAGGGAAUACUUAUUUUGUCCUCUAUCAUAAUUAUAAAACUAUUUAGGAUCUUUAGAUUGUGGGCAGAACAUUCAUGUGUUCCCACCCCAAACCCCUGCUGAUUGUGGAGGUAGUUUGGGGGAAGUGCUUCUUGUUGUUGGUUAAAGAGCUGAGAACGGCUGUGCUAUCGCCGUGGCGACUGCUAACCAAUCACCAGGCGGGGUUGGGGAGGCGGUGCUACCAGGCCUGUCCUGAUUGGCCAGCCAGCUGACAGGGCUGGUGUGGGUCUAUGCUUUGGGACUUCAUCAGGUCUUGUCUAUAACGGCAACCUACCCCCCAUAAUGCACUGCUUCUGAUGAACAGGAGUAGUAGUGCACCAUGUAGGAAAUAGGGUGCCAUUUGAGACGUGCCAGUCAGAGGGGCAGCACUCUGACCCCCGACGUGGCACCAUGUUUGUCCUGACUGUGUUUUAACCUGUUAGGGGAUCCAGUGGGACUCUUCUGAAGACCACUGCUCACAUUUAAACAGCUAUUGUUAACAAGGGGCAUAUUAACACACAAAGGAGUCUCUAAAUGUGUCUAAUGUUAAAAUAGAUCUCUAGAGGUCAAAGAAAUGUCCUAGGUCACAGGGGAACCCUAUCAGACAGACUGUCAAUUCAUCAAUAAUCACAAUGAAUGCAACAUUAGUUAAGUGCUCCCCAUUGGGAUAUAUAAUAAGAGCAUAGGGGAUAAUGCAGUAAUAUAAUAUAGGGGUAAGAGCUUCCAUACGUUGGAGCGUCAGGUUAAGGUGCGUACAUAAAUCUGUGGUCAAGGGGGUCUCAACACGGCUGGGCUAGGCUAAAUUAGCAUGCUACCAUAUUAACGUAAGUGCUAAUGUUAUUCAAGGGUCUGGCCUACGUUAGCAUGCUAACGCAUUAGCGGUGCAAAUGCUACUGAAGGGGCUAAGCUAUACACCGACGCUCAGGGUAAUAUUUUAUAUUUUUGAUGUAACUUUUAUUUAACUAGACAAGUCAGUUAAGAACAAAUUCUUAUUUACAAUGAUGGCCUACCGGGGAACAGUGGGUUAACUGCCUUGUUCAGGGGCAGAACGACAGAUUUUUACCUUGUUAGCUCGGGGAUUCGAUCCAGUAACCUUUCGGAUACUAGCCCAACACUUUAACCACUAGGCUACUUGCCGCCCAGGUAGUGUUGUGAUUAGCAAAACAACGCAGCGUAGCUAAUACAGAUGGGUCUGGAGGGAGGGGUUAGAGGCGCGGCUAACGCUAAUAGAUCAUUAUCGGUGGUGUAUUUAGCAAACGCCAUGUCAUCCUCCUCUUCCUCUCUGACCUCACAUGGAACACCGCUUGCCACGAGGUCCCUAUGGCAACCAUUUACAUCUGUGGUCAUGGGGUCUCAACACGGCUGGGCAACUAAACUUGUAAUGGCUACCAAGCCGAGGAACUAACAGACUAGCCAACACUGUGUGUUUAGUGUCGACGUUACUGUGCGUGUAAACCCACUAUUACUACCACUAAACACUGUAGUUCCAAGUCUAACUGUGCGGACCUCGGUAGGGGAGUGUAGAUCACAUCAUCCCAUUUCAAUUCACAAUAAAUUUGACCACUAGGAAGGGAUCAUUACAACAUGAGACAGUGUGCUGGGGCUACAACAGCCAUGUG
rnacentral:lncRNA from 1 species